AAACCGUUUCAUUACCUUUUGAAUGCCUAUCUUUGAAAAAUCGUGCUGACAGUCACCCUGAGGCAUGGUAUAAAUAGGCAAUAUCAGUAACACCAAUUCAUACGAUCCAAAAGAGUGGAUAAGACGUCAACUAUUACCAUACACAGUAAACGAAACUGUAGUUAAAUGUGUCGACCGUGAUCCACCUCUAAUUUACAUGGAACAAUGGCUAGUUGGAUCACCGUGACCCUUUGCUUUAUCUUAAUGACUAGGAUCAUCACUACAGAGGCAAAGACAUCCGAAAACUUCCCAAUAACAUCGCCGUGCAGUCCAAAAUGUGACCAGAAUCACACAUGUAAAAUGCGAAAAGGCCAUUGCCUUCACCCAAUAGAUCCAUGUAUGCCAACUUAUAGAUGCGUUAAAAAUAAAAAAGGAAAAGAAACGUAAUUUUGUUUGCAAUUAUUACAAACUAUGUAACGAAAAAUAAAGUAUUCUAUCUGAUUAA